UACUGGAAACGGUAGCUAAUACCGCAUAACGUCGCAAGACCAAAGAGGGGGACCUUCGGGCCUCUUGCCAUCGGAUGUGCCCAGAUGGGAUUAGCUAGUAGGUGGGGUAAAGGCUCACCUAGGCGACGAUCCCUAGCUGGUCUGAGAGGAUGACCAGCCACACUGGAACUGAGACACGGUCCAGACUCCUACGGGAGGCAGCAUG
rnacentral:rRNA from 1 species